CCUGCACCACAGCUCACGGCAACACGGGAUCCCUCCCCACUGAGCAAGGCCAGGGAUGGAACCCACAUCCUCAUGGAUACUAGUCAGGAUCAGCAGACCCAGGCCAGCAAAGGCUAGCUGGAGCGGCCCCCAAAUUCUGACCAAGGCGCCAGCAGGAACAAAAGGUCUCCAUCCCGAAGCUCGUGCCAUGGCUGGACCAGAGCAGAUGUUCCACAUGUGGUUCUCUGAGUGAGUCCUCGUUCCACCACUUCUUAGCUGGGAGACCUUGAGUAAGAAUGUGGGCACCCUGGCUGGAGCUCCUGAAGCCAUCUUGUGACCUUGAGGAUAGAAGUCAUGGGCCAAGGAUGGGCCAAGCUGAGUGAGAAGUCACCUCCAUACCAGUCCUGAAUUGCCUGCUUUGAAACUUCUUCAUAAAAGAAAUGUGAGACUUCAUUUAAUUUAAGCCACUUUAGUUUUCUCUUUUAGACAGCUAAAUCAAAAUCCGAUACAACAACCACGCAGUUUCAUGCCUCUGAGUUUUUGCAUAGCUGUUCUCUCUUCUAGGAACUUUUCCUUCCAGUCCUCUACCUGGUGAACUUGUAAUCGUGUUUGAAGCUUCCACUGCAGCAUCCCACUCUGUGUGGAAUCCCUUCUAACUGACCCCUCAGGUAGGCAUAAUAUAUGUUUAAUAAAUAUUCAAAUAAUUAAGUAAUAAUUGUUGAAGGAAAACUUCUAAGAAUGAAUGAAAAAUGAAUCAUGUACAUAAAAAUGACAAGGAGGGAGUGCUCUUUGUGGCUUAGCAGUUAUUGAAACUGACAAGGGUCUAUGAGGAUGCAGGUUCGAUCCCUGGACUCGCUCAGUGGGUUAAGGACCUGGUGUUGCCGUGAGCUGUGGUGUAGGUCACAGAUGGGACUCAGAUCACACGUUGCAGUGGCUGUGGCAUAGGNGGGGGCCCAAAAAAAAAAAAAAAAAAAAAAAAAAAGACAAGGAGACAGUUAUUCUAGAGUGCUUCUCCUUCGCAGCUUCAACUCUUAGAGGGUUUUCUUUGGUCCCAAAGUCCCAAGGGAUGAGGUGGUAUCAAAACAGGCAGAUAUGGAGAUAUGGCAGGGAUUCGAGUCAACGCUGGGUGUGCUGUAUGACAGAAUUCCCAGUGAGGACAAAAAACAUAGCAAGAAAGAAAAAUGAAGUAAAAACAUAUUCAUGAGAGUUGAAGGAAACACCAACCAUUUUGUACACUUGCCACAAGCUUUUUUUUUCCUACAUUAGAAUUGAUUUCACCCCAAAAUAGCCUUCCUGCUGGGGUGAGCCGCCCAGAGUACCAAGUGAGUCUCUGCAAUGGCAAGGUUGGCAGAGAGGGCACAUGUAAAUUUCCACAUGAGACCUGGGUGAUGAGAAGUCCCUGAACUGCCAAAGCAGGUGAGGGGCGUUGUUGCUCCCCUGGAAAUACUUUGAAGCCAGCACUUGCAGGAAAGGAAUGUCCCCCUCAGCAAGCGAACAAGUAUUUAGCUAAGCAGGGACAAUGAGCUUCUGGAAAAAACAACAACAACAACAGAGCAUAUUAACAUGUUCUCUAUACUUCUCUACAUGGCCAUGAGCAAAGCAAGGAAGAGGGAGACGUGUUUUUUCUACCUAUCAUUUCAGCUCAACAAAUUUUUCUGAGGACCUAAUUAUACUGGGCAGAGAACUGGGUGCUGGGAGUUCCAGAAUGGCCACAAGGCACCCCUGUUCUCAAGCCCUGUUAUCAGGGCCCAGAAGGGGAGCUGAUAUCAUCAUUAUCAUCUUCACUAUUGCCAUCAGCAUCCUGUUCCCAGCCAGGACAUUUAUUCUUUGAGAAUUCACAGCCCAACGGAUGAGACUGAUCUAAAAGCAGAUGUUUGUGAGAUGAUGAGAUAAAUGCAUUUGAUGAAGUAGUAAAGAGGAGAAAGUACUUAUCUGAAGUUCAAGAAAGGUAUAACCAAGAGGGAAAUAGUGAACAAGGUUUUGAAGGAUAAAUAGGAGUUUGCCAGCCUUACACUAAGGUAAGACACUUGCAAGUUCUUUCGUUCCUAGAAAUCUUUAAAUGUGAUUCUGUAUAAUGGACCUCAAUGUUUGAACUAAUUCCUAGAAAGAUUCCUUCAAACAGCACUUUUCAAACAGGAAUAUGCUUAAGGGUCACUUAAGAUUUCCGAUUUUAAGUCUGGUCUAAGUCCUCAGAAUUUUCAGUCUGGCAGAGUAGAGCUGCCAUAGAAGGUCCUGAAUGCUCCUGAUGUCUGUAUUUCUCAUGCCAACAAAUAACAAAAGAGUUCUCAGGCAGUACAGGUCUGUGGACCAUGCUUAGAAGAAAAUUCAUGUAAAGUAUCUCAGAUGCUCCAAAAAUGGUCAAAAUUUUUACCAUUUCUUCCACCAGAGCUGCCUCAGGACCCUGGUUCUCACUCACACAUAGAAAUCCCUGUGGAACAUCAACCAUCCCUAUGCCCAGAACAUACCUUGAACAGUUACAUCAGAAUGUCUCAGGAGGGGGG
rnacentral:lncRNA from 1 species